rnacentral:pre_miRNA from 1 species
AUUAUACUCGCUCCGUCUCAAAAUUCUUGUCUUAAAUUUGUCUAGAUAUAAAUGUAUCUAGUCAUGUUUUAAUAUUUAGAUACAUUCUUUUGUAGACAAAUUUAAGACGAGAAUUUUGGAACCCUCAUAUGGAGGCGGUAUUUC